CCAGAAGACCCCUCCGUCCGCCCUGGCCCUGCCAUGAGCCUCAUCCUCCUUUGCUGUGUGGCCACGUGUCUCCUGCAGCCAGGACCCGUGAAUGCUGGCAUCACUCAGACCCCCAAAUUCCAGGUCCUGGGGACAGGACGGAGCAUGGCGCUGAGAUGCGAACAGGACACGAACCACGACUACAUGUACUGGUAUAGGCAAGACCCUGGACACGGGCUGCGGCUGAUCCAUUACUCCAUCAACGUUGGUACCACUCAGAAAGGAGAAAUCUCCGAUGGGUACAAUGUCUCUAGGUCAACUACAAAGAACUUCCUCCUCACACUGGCGUCCACCACUCCCUCCCAGACAUCUGUGUACUUCUCUGCCAGCACUGACUACACACAGCUGCACAGCUGCCUCCUCUCCUCACAAAAAUAG